ACGACUCUUGGAAAUGGAUAUCUCGGCUCUCGGAUCGAUGAAGAUUGUAACGGAAUGUGAUACUUAAUGUGAAUUGCAGAAUCCCAUGAACCAUCGAGUUUUUGAAUGCAAGUUGUGCCCAAAGCCACUCGGUUGAGAGCAUGUAUGCCUGGGCGUCACGUAGAGCGUCACGCUUAACACAAGCAAUGUUUUUGUGUUGAUUAGCAGAAGUUUCCCCCCCAUGUUAUCUCAGCUCGGUCGGCCAAAAUGAUGGCCUUGAGCGAUGGACAUCACGAUCAAUGGUGGUUUAGAACCCUUUUUGUCAUAGACUGGCAUCAUAUUCGCCUUGUUGACCACUCGAGCUGUACAAACCAUUGUGUGUUGCAUCUAACACUCACUUUGCAACCCCAGGUUAGGCAGGACUACCCACUAAGUUUAAGCAUAUCAAUAAGCGGGGGAAAAGAAACUUACAAGGAUUUCCCUAGUAAUGGUGAGCAAACCAGGAUCAACCCAGCUUGAAAAUAGGGCGGCUUUUUCAUCUGAAUUGUAGUCUGUUGAAGCGUCCUCAGCGAUGGAUUAGUCCCAAGUCCCUUGGAAUGGGGCGCUAGAGAGGGUGAAAGCCCCAUCGUGUCCGAACCCUAUCGCACCACGAGGCGUUGUCGGCGAGUCGGGUUGUUUGGGAUCCUAAUUGGGCAGUAAAUUUUGUCUACGACAAAAUACAGGUGAAAGAACGAUAGCGAACAAGUACUGCAAGGGAAAGAUGAAAGGGAAUUUGAAAAGAGAGUCAAAGAGUGCUUGAAAUUGAAAGGAGGGAAGCGGAUGGGGGCUGGCGAAGCACCUAGGUCGGAUGCGAAGUUGUGUGAGCUAGUUCGCCGAUCGACUCUAGAUGCGGAUUAUGAUGGUGGCCCAAGCUUGAGUCAUUUUCGUGCUUGUUGAUACGUCAUCAUCAUGACUGUGGUGGGCAGCGUGCACCUUCGGUGUGCUUAUGGAAAUUGCACGCUCCUGGAGUUGGCCUGUGGGCUCCCAUUCAGCCCAUCUUGAAACACGGACCAAGGAGUCUAACAUUUGUGUGAAUCAAUGGGUAAGUAAAUUCGUAAGGUGCAAGGAAGCUGAUUGGUGGGAUCCCCUUGUGGGUUGCACCGCCGACCGACCUAAGGGUUUGAGUUUGAGCAUACCUGUCGGGAUCCGAAAAAUGGUGAACUAUGUCUGAGCGGAGCUUAGCCAGAUGAAACGCUGGUGGAGGGCCACAACGAUACUAACGUGCAAAUUGUUCAUUUGACUUGGGUAUAGAGGCGAAAGACUAAUCGAACCAUCAAGUAGUUGGUUCCCUCCGAAGUUUCCCUCACGAUAGUUGGAGCUCGAGCACGAGUUCUAUUGGGUAAAGCCAAUGAUUAAGGCAUUGGGGACGCAAAGCCCUAGACAUAUUCGCAAACUUUAAAUAGGUAGGACAGUGCGACUUCUUUGUUUAGCCAUACCAUUGAAUCGAGAGCUCCAAGUGGGCCAUUUUUGGUAAGAAAAACUGACGAUACAGGAUGAAUCAAAAGCUGGGUUAUGGUGCUCAACUACGCGCUAACCUAGAACCCACAAAGGGUAUAGGUCCAUUAAGACAACAAAACGGUGGUCAUGGAAGUCAAAAUUCAUCAACUAGCCCCGAAAAUGGAUGGCGCUUAAGCACGUGACCCACACCUGUCCGUUAGGGCAAUUGCUAGGCCUUGAUGAGUAGGAGGGCAUGGCGGUAGUUGCAAAACCUGAGGCGUGAGCCCGGGCGGAGCUUUCGUCGGUGUAGAUCUUGGUGGUAGUAGCAUAUAUUCAAAUGAGAACUUUGAAGGCCAGGUGCCUAUCGUGCCAAAUCAUACUCAUAACCGCAUCAGGUCUCCAAGGUGAACAACCUCUGGUCGAUGGACAAUGUAGGCAAGGGAAGUUGACAAAAUGGAUUCGUAACCUCGGGAAAAGGAUUGGCUCUGAGGACUGGGCACGGGAGUCCAUGUCUCGAACCCGUCGACUAUUGGUGGACUGCUCGAGCUGCUUACGUGACGAGAGCGGGUCACUGCGUGCCGACUGGGAGGUGGACUCGGAAUAGUCCCUUUGGUGACCUUCCCCGAGUGUUGAACUGUUGACUCAGAACAUGUACGGACAACGGGAAUCCGACUGUUAAAUUAAAACAAAGCAUUGUGAUGGUCCUUACGGAUGCUAACACAAUGUGAUUUCUGCCAGUGCUCUGAAUGUCAAAGUGAAGAAAUUCAACCAAGCACGGGUAAACGAUGGGAGUAACUGUGACUCUCUUAAGGUAGCCAAAUGCCUCGUCAACUAAUUAGUGACGCGCAUGAAUAGAUUAACGAGAUUCUCACUGUCCCUGUCAACUAUCAAGCGAAACCACAGCCAAGGGAAUGGUCUUGGUAGAGUCAACGGGGAUAGAAGACCCUGUUGAGCUUGACUCUAGUCCGACUUUGUGAAAUGACUUGAGAGGUGUCGGAUAAGUGGGAGGUGCUUGCAUCGAAAGUGAAAUACCACUACUUUUAACAUUAUUUUACUUAUUCCAGGAAUCGAAAGCGGGGCACUGCCCUUCUUUUUGGAUCUAAGGGUCGCCUCAGUGGCCUGAUCUGGGUGGAAGACAUUGUCAGGUGGGGAGUUUGGCUGGGGCGGCACAUUUGUUAAAAUGUAACGCAGGUGUCCUAAGAUGAGCUCAACGAGAACAAAAAUCUCUUGUGGAAUCGAAGGGUAAAAACUUGUUUGAUUUUGAUUUCUACUAAGAAUAUGAACCGUAAAAGCGUGGCCUAUCGAUCCAUUAGACCUUCAAAAUUUGAAGCUAGAGGUGUCAAAAAAGUUACCACAAGGAUAAUUGACUUGUGGCAGCCAAGCAUUGAUAGCAAUGUGGCAUUUUGAUCCUUCGAUGUAGGCUCUUCCUAUCAUUGUGAAGAAGAAUUCACCAAGUAUUGGAUUGUUCACCCACUAAUAGGGAACGUGAGUUGGGUUUAGACCGGCAUGGGACAGGUUAGUUUUAACCUACGGAUGAUAGUGCCGUGAUAGUAAUUCAACCUAGUACUAGAGGUACCGUUGAUUCACACAAUUGGUCAUCGCACUUGGUUGAAAAGCCAGUGGCACAAAGCUACCGUGUGCAGGAUUAUGAUUGAACGCCUCUAAGUCAGAAUCUAGGUAAGAGAAGCGGCGCAUACACCCAUUGAUUGUUGACCUACAGUAGGGACCUGUAGGUCCCCAAAGGCAUGUGUCAUUGGUGAAGCUCCGCGAUGGAUGAGUCGCGAGGGAAGCCUUGAAGUACAAUUUCCACCCCGUGGCGGGUAAAAUCUUUUGCAGAUGACU
rnacentral:rRNA from 1 species